ACUUAAAUAAUUUAAAUAAAUAAAAUAUUGAUUUGUGGAGUCAAAAAUAUGAUUAAAAUCAUUUUAAGUC
rnacentral:tRNA from 1 species